AUCACCCAGGGACCUUGUUAAAUGCAGAUUCUGAUUCAGCAAGUCUGGAGCAGGCCAAGAUUCUGCAUUUGUAACAAGCUCUCAGGAUGCUAC
rnacentral:pre_miRNA from 1 species